rnacentral:misc_RNA from 1 species
AAAAAUGCUAGUAAUGUGAAAAUGGGAAGUUGCCCAAGUAAUGUUUUGAAUUGCAGGGAAACAAAAGAGUAGUUUCCUUCCUCUUCUUCCUCUGCUACUCUUCUUUUUUAUCCAAAUUUCCGAACCCUAAAUUGUUUUUUAAUUAACUGGGAACGAAAAGGCGGAAAUUCGUAACAAGACCAUCAACGUUAACACAAACAACCAAAAACCCUAACAAAGCUCCAGCCAUUCCUUCAUGGGCAAAAGACGAGGACGCAAACCCAAAA